rnacentral:rRNA from 1 species
AGCGAACGCUGGCGGCAGGCUUAACACAUGCAAGUCGAGCGGGCCCUUCGGGGUCAGCGGCAGACGGGUGAGUAACACGUGGGAACGUACCCUUUGGUUCGGAAUAACGCUGGGAAACUAGCGCUAAUACCGGAUACGCCCUUUUGGGGAAAGGCUUGCUGCCGAAGGAUCGGCCCGCGUCUGAUUAGCUAGUUGGUGGGGUAAUGGCCUACCAAGGCGACGAUCAGUAGCUGGUCUGAGAGGAUGAUCAGCCACACUGGGACUGAGACACGGCCCAGACUCCUGCGGGAGGCAGCAGUGGGGAAUAUUGGACAAUGGGCGCAAGCCUGAUCCAGCCAUGCCGCGUGAGUGAUGAAGGCCUUAGGGUUGUAAAGCUCUUUUGUCCGGGACGAUAAUGACGGUACCGGAAGAAUAAGCCCCGGCUAACUUCGUG